rnacentral:rRNA from 1 species
GACGAACGCUGGCGGCGUGCUUAACACAUGCAAGUCGAACGAAGUGGCGAACGGGUGAGUAACGCGUAAUCAACCUGCCCUUCAGAGGGGGACAACAGUUGGAAACGACUGCUAAUACCGCAUACUGAAGGAGGGGAUUGCGUCUGAGUAGCUAGUUGGAGGGGUAACGGCCCACCAAGGCGAUGAUCAGUAGGCGGGCUGGGAGGAUGAACGGCCACAAUGGGAACGGGAACCCGCCCAGACUCCUACGGGAGGGAGCAGUGGGGGAUCUUCCGCAAUGGACGAAAGGCUGAAGGAGCAACGCCGCGUGAGUGAUGACGGCCUUCGGGGUGUAAAGCUCUGUUAAUCGGGACGCGGUACCGGAAUAGAAAGCCACGGCUAACUACGUGCCAGCAGCCGCGGUAAUAC